GGUCAAGUGAAGAAGCGCAUACGGUGGAUGCCUUGGCAGUCAGAGGCGAUGAAAGACGUGGUAGCCUGCGAAAAGCUUCGGGGAGUCGGCAAACAGACUGUGAUCCGGAGAUGUCUGAAUGGGGGAACCCAGCCAUCAUAAGAUGGUUAUCUUGUACUGAAUACAUAGGUGCAAGAGGCGAACCAGGGGAACUGAAACAUCUAAGUACCCUGAGGAAAAGAAAUCAACCGAGAUUCCCUUAGUAGUGGCGAGCGAACGGGGACCAGCCCUUAAGUUGUAUUGAGAUUAGCGGAACGUUCUGGAAAGGACGGCCAUAGUGGGUGAUAGCCCUGUACGCGAAAAUCCCUUUGCAAUGAAAUCGAGUAGGACGGGGCACGAGAAACCUUGUCUGAAUAUGGGGGGACCAUCCUCCAAGGCUAAAUACUACUGACUGACCGAUAGUGAACCAGUACCGUGAGGGAAAGGCGAAAAGAACCGCGGAGAGCGGAGUGAAAUAGAUCCUGAAACCGUAUGCGUACAAGCAGUGGGAGCCCACUUUGUUGGGUGACUGCGUACCUUUUGUAUAAUGGGUCAGCGACUUAUUUUCAGUGGCGAGCUUAACCGAAUAGGGGAGGCGUAGCGAAAGCGAGUCUUAAUAGGGCGUCUAGUCGCUGGGAAUAGACCCGAAACCGGGCGAUCUAUCCAUGGGCAGGUUGAAGGUUGGGUAACACUAACUGGAGGACCGAACCGACUACCGUUGAAAAGUUAGCGGAUGACCUGUGGAUCGGAGUGAAAGGCUAAUCAAGCUCGGAGAUAGCUGGUUCUCCUCGAAAGCUAUUUAGGUAGCGCCUCAUGUAUCACUGUAGGGGGUAGAGCACUGUUUCGGCUAGGGGGUCAUCCCGACUUACCAAACCGAUGCAAACUCCGAAUACCUACAAGUGCCGAGCAUGGGAGACACACGGCGGGUGCUAACGUCCGUCGUGAAAAGGGAAACAACCCAGACCGUCAGCUAAGGUCCCAAAGUCAUGGUUAAGUGGGAAACGAUGUGGGAAGGCUUAGACAGCUAGGAGGUUGGCUUAGAAGCAGCCACCCUUUAAAGAAAGCGUAAUAGCUCACUAGUCGAGUCGGCCUGCGCGGAAGAUGUAACGGGGCUCAAACCAUGCACCGAAGCUACGGGUAUCAUCUUUUGAUGAUGCGGUAGAGGAGCGUUCUGUAAGCCUGUGAAGGUGAGUUGAGAAGCUUGCUGGAGGUAUCAGAAGUGCGAAUGCUGACAUGAGUAACGACAAUGGGUGUGAAAAACACCCACGCCGAAAGACCAAGGUUUCCUGCGCAACGUUAAUCGACGCAGGGUUAGUCGGUCCCUAAGGCGAGGCUGAAAAGCGUAGUCGAUGGAAAACAGGUUAAUAUUCCUGUACUUCUGGUUAUUGCGAUGGAGGGACGGAGAAGGCUAGGCCAGCCUGGCGUUGGUUGUCCAGGUUUAAGGUGGUAGGCUGAGAUCUUAGGUAAAUCCGGGAUCUCAAGGCCGAGAGCUGAUGACGAGUGUUCUUUAGAACACGAAGUGGUUGAUGCCAUGCUUCCAAGAAAAGCUUCUAAGCUUCAGGUAACCAGGAACCGUACCCCAAACCGACACAGGUGGUUGGGUAGAGAAUACCAAGGCGCUUGAGAGAACUCGGGUGAAGGAACUAGGCAAAAUGGCACCGUAACUUCGGGAGAAGGUGCGCCGGUGAGGGUGAAGCAUUUACUGCGUAAGCCCACGCCGGUCGAAGAUACCAGGCCGCUGCGACUGUUUAUUAAAAACACAGCACUCUGCAAACACGAAAGUGGACGUAUAGGGUGUGACGCCUGCCCGGUGCCGGAAGGUUAAUUGAUGGGGUUAGCGCAAGCGAAGCUCUUGAUCGAAGCCCCGGUAAACGGCGGCCGUAACUAUAACGGUCCUAAGGUAGCGAAAUUCCUUGUCGGGUAAGUUCCGACCUGCACGAAUGGCGUAACGAUGGCGGCGCUGUCUCCACCCGAGACUCAGUGAAAUUGAAAUCGCUGUGAAGAUGCAGUGUAUCCGCGGCUAGACGGAAAGACCCCGUGAACCUUUACUAUAGCUUUGCACUGGACUUUGAAUUUGCUUGUGUAGGAUAGGUGGGAGGCUUUGAAGCGUGGACGCCAGUCUGCGUGGAGCCAACCUUGAAAUACCACCCUGGCAACUUUGAGGUUCUAACUCAGGUCCGUUAUCCGGAUCGAGGACAGUGUAUGGUGGGUAGUUUGACUGGGGCGGUCUCCUCCUAAAGAGUAACGGAGGAGUACGAAGGUGCGCUCAGACCGGUCGGAAAUCGGUCGUAGAGUAUAAAGGCAAAAGCGCGCUUGACUGCGAGACAGACACGUCGAGCAGGUACGAAAGUAGGUCUUAGUGAUCCGGUGGUUCUGUAUGGAAGGGCCAUCGCUCAACGGAUAAAAGGUACUCCGGGGAUAACAGGCUGAUACCGCCCAAGAGUUCAUAUCGACGGCGGUGUUUGGCACCUCGAUGUCGGCUCAUCACAUCCUGGGGCUGAAGCCGGUCCCAAGGGUAUGGCUGUUCGCCAUUUAAAGUGGUACGCGAGCUGGGUUUAGAACGUCGUGAGACAGUUCGGUCCCUAUCUGCCGUGGACGUUUGAGAUUUGAGAGGGGCUGCUCCUAGUACGAGAGGACCGGAGUGGACGAACCUCUGGUGUUCCGGUUGUCACGCCAGUGGCAUUGCCGGGUAGCUAUGUUCGGAAAAGAUAACCGCUGAAAGCAUCUAAGCGGGAAACUUGCCUCAAGAUGAGAUCUCACUGGAACCUUGAGUUCCCUAAAGGGCCGUCGAAGACUACGACGUUGAUAGGUUGGGUGUGUAAGCGCUGUGAGGCGUUGAGCUAACCAAUACUAAUUGCCCGUGAGGCUUGACCAUAUAACACCCA
rnacentral:rRNA from 1 species